AUGCAGUUACAGCUCGAGGAUGAAAGGAUAAGAAAGAAGAAGUAUGAAUUCCAGAAGAGAAAGGAAUUGGAACAACGUCAAAAGGCUGCAUGUGUGCUAGCAAGUGAUGUUGAUGUUGCUCAAGCUCCUAAAUGUGUAGGCGAUGAAGGUGGUGACGCGGGUUUUUCAACUGUUCAUGUCGGAUCUCAUGGAAGUGACAUGCCUGUGAAGACAAACUUGAUGCAAACUCGUUUGACGCAAGUGUUUGAUAGUGGAGUUAAGGAGAAGAAAGUUGUUUUGAAGAGGAAGAUGUCAGAUCGAAAUCCUGAUGGCACACAGAGGCGUAGUCCACGUGUGAAAGCUGUUUCCCAACCUGGUAAUAGCAAACAUGAUGCAGAUAGUUUUGCUGUGAAAAUUGGUCCAAGCAAACUUGGUGGCUCCUCUAUUCGUCGGAGUCCAUGA
rnacentral:rRNA from 1 species